rnacentral:rRNA from 1 species
UACGAAGGGGGCUAGCGUUGCUCGGAAUCACUGGGCGUAAAGCGCACGUAGGCGGAUCUUUAAGUCAGGGGUGAAAUCCCGGAGCUCAACUCCGGAACUGCCUUUGAUACUGGAGAUCUUGAGUUCGGGAGAGGUGAGUGGAACUGCGAGUGUAGAGGUGAAAUUCGUAGAUAUUCGCAAGAACACCAGUGGCGAAGGCGGCUCACUGGCCCGAUACUGACGCUGAGGUGCGAAAGCGUGGGGAGCAAACAGG